UGAUGAAGAGAUCUUACUCCCUUUUCUAUUUCGUAUAAAUCCAAAUCUGGGUUUUUGUAUGAUUUAUAUUUUUCUUUUCAGAUAUGAGUUUUAUCCUUUAUGAAAGAUCAAUUUUUUUUGUUGCAUAAGAUUACAAGAUUAUGGGAUGAAAGGUUGGAAUUUGUGAGAAUAGGAAUUAUGUUUCUAUUUUUUUGAAAUUUUAUUUUCAUGUUUUGUAGGUAAUUUAUGAAAGAAAUCUUCUCAACAAUCAACCAGGUAAUGUGGUAAUUUAUGAAAGAAAUCUUCUCAACAAUCAACCAGGUAAUAUGGGAUCAAGUCUUGAUAUCAAUGCAUAAAUAUGGCUUCUGGUUGCAAAUCUCACGAUGUUUUCUUAUGAAUCAAGGGAAAUUCAUUUUAGGUGUGUACAAUAUUCUUUUAAAUGACGUCGCAUUUGAGCUUCAUAUUUCCUGUUUGAAAAUGUACUCCAGGGAGUAAAAUGGAUCAAGUUCAUAGAAGCUUUUACAAAUGUUUAGGACAGGGUCACUCAAGUUUACAUAGACGAAAUAUAUUGCUUAUUAAAUUGUGUAUUCA